rnacentral:rRNA from 1 species
AAAUUGAAGAGUUUGAUCAUGGCUCAGAUUGAACGCUGGCGGCAGGCCUAACACAUGCAAGUCGAACGGUAACAGGAAACAGCUUGCUGUUUCGCUGACGAGUGGCGGACGGGUGAGUAAUGUCUGGGAAACUGCCUGAUGGAGGGGGAUAACUACUGGAAAUGGUAGCUAAUACCGCAUAACGUCGCAAGACCAAAGAGGGGGACCUUCGGGCCUCUUGCCAUCGGAUGUGCCCAGAUGGGAUUAGCUAGUAGGUGGGGUAACGGCUCACC